rnacentral:rRNA from 1 species
AACGCGAAGAACCUUACCCAGACUUGACAUCCAAGGAAUCCUGCAGAGAUGUGGGAGUGCCCGCAAGGGAACCUUGAGACAGGUGCUGCAUGGCUGUCGUCAGCUCGUGUCGUGAGAUGUUGGGUUAAGUCCCGCAACGAGCGCAACCCUCGCCUUUAGUUGCCAGCAUUCAGUUGGGCACUCUAGAGGGACUGCCGGUGUCAAGCCGGAGGAAGGUGGGGAUGACGUCAAGUCCUCAUGGCCUUUAUGUCUGGGGCUACACACGUGCUACAAUGGCGGAUACAGAGGGAAGCAAAAGCGCGAGCUCGAGCCAAUCCCAGAAAGUCCGUCCCAGUUCGGAUCGAAGUCUGCAACUCGACUUCGUGAAGUCGGAAUCGCUAGUAAUCGCGGAUCAGAACGCCGCGGUGAAUACGUUCCCGGGCCUUGUACACACCGCGUGUCU